AAGAAGAUACUAAGGGCGCACGGCGGAUGCCUUGGCACAGGAAGUCGAAGAAGGACGCGGCAAGCUGCGAUAAGCUCCGGGGAGGCGCAAACGGCCUUCGAUCCGGAGAUCUCCGAAUGGGGGAACCCAGCAGGGGUCAUGCCCUGCUACCCGCGCCUGAAUGAAAUAGGGCGCGAGGAGGCAACCCGGGGAACUGAAACAUCUAAGUACCCGGAGGAAGAGAAAUCAACCGAGAUUGCGGGAGUAGCGGCGAGCGAAACCGCACCAGCCCAAACCCAUGCACGUGCAAGCUUGAGGGCGUUGCUGCAUGAGGGGUUGUGGGACCGCGCAUUCCAUGGGCCUCAGACCAUGGACGCAGUUACAAAUCCGCGCGGAAGCGGAACGGCCUGGGAAGGCCGGCGGAACAGGGUGAGAGCCCCGUACGCGAAUCCGCGCGGACUGCGAGUGCGGCACCCGAGUAGCGCCGGGCACGUGAAACCCGGUGCGAACCUGGGGGGACCACCCUCCAAGGCUGAACACUCUCCUGUGACCGAUAGCGAACCAGUACCGUGAGGGAAAGGUGAAAAGCACCCCGAGAGGGGAGUGAAACAGUACCUGAAACCGUGCGCCUACAAGCAGUCGGAGCCCCCGAGCGGGGUGACGGCGUGCCUUUUGUAGAAUGAGCCAGCGAGUUGCGGUAUGCGGCGAGGUUAAGGUUUGAACCGAGCCGCAGUGAAAGCGAGCCUUUAAGAUGGCGUAUGAGUCGCAUGCUGCAGACGCGAAGCCGGGUGAGCUAUCCAUGGGCAGGCUGAAGCGGGGGUAAGACCCCGUGGAGGGCCGAACCCACUUCGGUUGAAAACGGAGGGGAUGACCCGUGGAUAGGGGUGAAAGGCCAAUCAAACCCGGAGAUAUCUCGUUCUCCCCGAAAUAGCUUUAGGGCUAGCCUCGGCCGUUCUCCGACGGCGGUAGAGCACUGGAUCGUCGAGGGGGCUUCACCGCCUACCGACACGAACCAAACUCCGAAUGCCGCCGGAUCAGAGGCCGGGAGUCAGAACAUGUGGGCUAAGCUGUGUGUUCGAGAGGGAAACAGCCCAGACCGCCCGCUAAGGUCCCCAAGUUUAUGCUGAGUGGCAAAGGAUGUGCGUUUGCCUAGACAACCAGGAUGUUGGCUUAGAAGCAGCCAUGCAUUUAAAGAGUGCGUAACAGCUCACUGGUCAAGUGGACAUGCGCCGACAAUUCACGGGGCUAAGCAUAACACCGAAGCGGCGGACUAAUCUAUAUUAGUGGUAGGGGAGCUUUCCCCGCAGCGGAGAAGCCGAGAGGGCGACCCUCGGUGGAGCGCGGGGAAGUGAGAAUGCUGGCAUGAGUAACGAGAGCGGCGCGAGAAACGCCGCCGCCGUAAGCCUAAGGGUUCCUGGGCAAGGCUAAUCCUCCCAGGGUCAGUCGGGAGCUAAGGCGAGGCCGAGAGGCGUAGCCGAUGCGCAACAGGCGGACAUUCCUGUACCGCCUGCGGACCGCUAUCACCGACGGGGUGACGGAGAAGGGUAGCCGAGCGGGGUUCUGGACGUCCCCGUGAAAGCGCGUAGGGAGCAUCGCAUGGAAAUCAGCGGCGCACGUAUCCUGAGACGCGAGACGAAAGCUUAUGCUGAAGUCGGCGAGCCCAUGCUUCCGAGAAAAACCUCUAGGAAGGGACGCAGGCGCCCGUACCAAAACCGACACAGGUGGGCAGGUAGAGCAUACCGAGGCGAUCGGGAGAACCAUGGUUAAGGAACUCGGCAUACUGACUCCGUAACUUCGGGAGAAGGAGUGCCCCUGGCGGUGACGGGACUAGCUCCCCGAGCGGCCGGGGGUCGCAGCGAAACGGCCCAAGCGACUGUUUAUCAAAAACA
rnacentral:rRNA from 1 species